rnacentral:lncRNA from 1 species
AAAGACAGCACACAAUCACUCCAUAAUCCAAUCACUGGAACCCUUCCCAUCCAACUGUCAUUCUCCCUACACUUCUUCACACAAAUUCAAACUCCAUAGUCUCCUCCUCCAAUCCCAAUAUUCAAUGCAUCAUAAUUCCCCCGUUCAUUACCAUUCUUCACAAUUACUUCCCAUCGUCCACUUCCACACAAGUAUUCAUCCCACAAAUAAAUUCAAAUACUUCCUUUGACAACAUCAAAUCUCUUUUUUCAUUCCAGAAUUUCACUUCACA